rnacentral:lncRNA from 1 species
AGGACAUGAGGAUAUAUCACAGCAACAUCACACUAAAAGAGAAAUAAUGCAAGAUGGAGAUUCAUAUAAAACUCAUCAGUGAUGUGUCCUUACAGGAUUUCUUCUCGCUUUGGGUUCAGAUUUAAAUGCAAUUUACAGUCCAGUGCUCGUAGUGGAAAUGAUGUUUCUUUUAAGCUAUAGUGAUUCCUGUGCUUAAAGGGUACAGUUUAAUAAAACACCGCUUCUCUUUGAAAUAUGAGUUGUCAAAACUAAACACCCCAAUUCUCCAACAAACUUCAGAUGGAGUCAUGAUAGUUGGCACUGGUGUGUUGAAUGCAGAGUACAUUCCCCCUGUAGGACUUGCUUCACUUCAUUUCAAAGUGGCUUAUUCUGCACAUUGGACAUUUUCAGUUGUAAGCAAAAUAAAUGAUGAAUGAAGUUGACAAGUAGCAAAAAAUUAAAAUGUACUUUUAAGUGUGCAUUCAUCAUACUACUACUGUGUAAACUUUAUUCAGAACGAAUGGUCUCAGUUUGCUUAUUUUCUGAGCUCUGACCAAAUACAAUUUUUUGGCUUUUCUGUUUCACAUUUUUUUUUCUGGUCAAUAGAGAGAUCACAUCCAACCUGGUAAGCUGCAGAUACAGAGGCCCCAUCCUUUUCUGCCUACACUGAGAAGACACCACAGAAAUACCUUCCACUUAGGUGUAUGUGUGCUAACAGUGCGGCUUCUUAAAUAAUCUGUUCCUUUAAAAGCAGCAGCUCAUUAGAUCUUUUCACUUGUAGAGCUUCAGAAUAUUUUGUUUAAAAGCCUCAAGCAGUGGGCAUCUGCAGUCAUGGCUUCUGCAAGUUUUGUUUCACUGAGAGUAGUUCUUGGAGAGACUGCUAUGGAUAAGCGAUGUGUAUUUGCUUAGAAGCUCUGCUCCGGGGCUGUGCUCUGGGUCACAAAGCUGAGGGUCAGGCACAGCUUUUCAGCGCAUCCAUGGGGAAUGAGGCACUAAUGAUUCCCCCAGUGCAAUCGCUUCAACUGGACCUACCGGGUGCGGGCAGGAUUGCAGGGGUGUAUUAGGAAUGGCAGUCAAUUUAGUGCUAGCGUUGUGAGAGAAGCAGAGCACUAGGGAUGCCUUUUGGCCCAAAACUUCCAUGUGUGGGGUUUGAAUGUGGGAGGUUUCUCAGCUUAUUCAUGCCUUCAACUGCUGGCUGACAGCAUGGAAGCCCAGAACAAGGCUUUAAUUUGCCAGUGCCUUGGAAUGACUUUGUUUGCCCUCUUCAUGUUUUGGGUGUUUCAGAGGGCCAUGGAGAGGCAGAUACGUGACAGAGUAAUUGGCUUGUGGUGUGUAAGUCCUUCACACGGUGAAAUGGGCACCUCUGGGAGGUGUGGGAUGCACCUCUAUUGCCCCUGGUGCAGGUGAUGAAGGCCCACACAGGGGUAUCGACCACCUGGUGCUGCACAGGGAACAGGCAGUCACGUUGCCACUUGCUAUGGUAAAUCACUUGCUAAAUGAGCAGAAAGCAGGUGAGCAGGAUUUAUACAACACUAAGAUGUCAUCCUUUUACACAAACAGGCACUUAAACUGCUUGGUGCGGUUAUAUCUUGUUCCCUUGGGAGUCUGGAGUCGUUCUGAGAGGGGGCAGUUUAGUUCUGCUCAGAGCAGGCUCCAUAUUCUAUGUCACAGUGAAAGCUGCUGAACUACACCAGCCUGUCCUUGCUCCCAAACGCUCAGGCUGUGCAGUACCUCUGUUCCCCCCAGCAACUCUGUUAAUUCAUUUAAAUCUCUCCUAGGAAGUAACUUUUGCCGUCUACCUUCAGAUGGGGAGUUGUAGGGGAAUUACAAAAUCAAUAUACAUAAUAAAGACAAACUAAAUUUAGAGAGACCUCUGUCAAAACAGAGCGUGUACGCGUGCCUUGUUUAAGAAAGAUUUACUUUCUGCAUUGUUCGGUGCGUUCCUCCUCCAUCUGUCUCUUGAUCCUUCAGAACAAACGUAGGAAGAAAUGCUAUAGAUUCAGAGGUGUGAGUUUAUGUGUGUAUUUUGCUGUUUAAUUGACUCAUCUUUUUCAUUUCUCCAUUUUUUAGAAGUAGAUCACAGUUUGUGCAGUGUAUAAACACUAUGGUGCAUUUGUAUGGGUGUUUAAGAGGGGAAUACUUGGAAGAGGUGCAUUCUGUCUGGCUGAGCACACCACUGGGUGGAGAGGCAAGCCCAAAUCCAUCCAAGUUGCUCAUCUGACUACAGCUAUUGUGUCAGAAUAGGGAAGUCCAAAUCUGGUUUUAGCGAUCAUUACAGUAUGAAACCCCGAAAUUCAGGGAAGCAGUGAUAUUUGAUGGAUGCACAUUAAGUGCUCUGUGUUUGGCUCUGGUUUAGAAAACAUUGGCAAUGAGAUGAGAGGAGUUUCCCUACAGUGCUGAACUCCCACAGUAUGCCCAGUUUGAUUUUUUUUUUUUCAGCUCUUUAAAUAAAACCCCCAGGACUCUGGCAGAGCACUGAAAUUUCUUAGGAACUCAGGAAAAUAUGGAAAAUAAUGGCAACUAAUGGGCAUUAGCCUUUACUCAAUUGGCACAAACCCUAAAGAAGCAAAUCCUCUACAGAUAGUGCGAGCAAGCCUCUUGGGUUGUAAGAGCUCUUCCAUGAAGGACCCUCACAAUGGGUGAAUCAGAGCCGGGUUUUAAAAACAUGAGAGACCUUCUCCUGCUGAGCAAAGCCCAGGCCUCGUGAUUUCUGUGUUUGUUUCCCAGACGUUAGUGAGCUGUUUGCAAAUGGUGUUUGCAAACUCCUCCAACGUGAGUCACCCUGCAAGGAAAGCAGUAUGGGAUGAGCUGGACUGGUCUUUGUCAUAGUAAAGCUGGGUUGUGUUCCUGCAUCUCCUAUCUGCUUCCAAGAGAUGAAAGCUAAACCUGCAGUGCUGUGUCAGUUUUGAGAAAGCCAUGCACAAGCCUAAUGCCUGCAGUCUGCAGACAGGGCAGUUCCAACCUGUGUAUCUUUGUAACCCGAGGCUGUCAGCCAAGGUUAUCCCCUGAGCCAAGGGGAUUCAAAGAAAAAAUAAGAUAAAACAGCUUUGAAAUUGUCAUUUUGUUUUGGUUUGAAGUGCAUUUUUGUUUGUUUGUUUGUUUUUUA